AUGACUUUGGUCUCCAUCUUCAUCUGGACGCUCACCCUCUGGACUCAAGGAUCCAGUGGUCAGGUGACUGUGACUCAGACGCCUGCAGUGAAAACUGUUUCUCCAGGAGACUCAGUUACCAUCAGCUGUAGAACCAGCACUAGCGUUCUUGGUGGUAACUACUUAGCCUGGUAUCAGCAGAAACCUGAAGAAGCCCCUAAACUCCUGAUCUACUACGCUUCCAGUAGACAGUCAGGUGUUCCAGCUCGUUUCAGUGGCAGUGGAUCUGUAUCUGACUUCACUCUGACCAUCAGUAAUGUCCAGAGUGAAGAUGCAGGAGAUUAUUACUGUCAGAGUGUACACAGUAUCAGUGGUAGCUGGGUGUUCCCACAGUGUUUAGUAGGUGUACAAAAACCCCCCUCAGUCCAGCUGCACAGAGACUGCACUGCUGCAGCUGUCCUGAGAAAGAGGGAGUCCCUGAAGAAGUCCUUCACCAAACUCAGACCCAUCAGCUUUUAG